rnacentral:lncRNA from 1 species
GUCUCGCAGGUGGUAAAAUUGAUGGGCAAGGACACAGCAGGCUGGCAGGCCCCCGGCCCCCACCUCAGCAGCCAGAUGCCGGUAGCUGGAGGGAGCGUCCUAGCUCAGGAACCAAAUGAAUGCAAACUGGGGAGGGCUGGGACGGGGGCCCUAGGGCCAUUCCUCACCUGGCUUUGUAUUUGCAAGCCCUGUGUUGGGGGUGCAGGGAAGGCAUUUUGAAGUGCAGAAGGUGCUGUACAAAUGCCUGAGAGUACCGAUGUCUGCUGCCCUUGUCACUGUUGAAUGCGGAGAUCAGAAACCUUAAAAC